AAUAGAUACCCCGGUAGUCCAUGCCGUAAACGGUGGGCGCUAGGUGUGGGGUUCCUUCCACGGGCUCCGCGCCGUAGCUAACGCAUUAAGCGCCCCGCCUGGGGAGUACGGCCGCAAGGCUAAAACUCAAAGGAAAUUAGACGGGGGCCCGCACAAGCGGCGGAGCAUGUGGAUUAAUUCGAUGCAACGCGAAGAACCUUACCUGGGCUUGACAUAUAGAGGAUCGCUACAGAGAUGUGGUUUCCCUUGUGGCUUCUAUACAGGUGGUGCAUGGUUGUCGUCAGCUCGUGUCGUGAGAUGUUGGGUUAAGUCCCGCAACGAGCGCAACCCUCGUCUUAUGUUGCCAGCACGUUAUGGUGGGGACUCGUGAGAGACUGCCGGGGUCAACUCGGAGGAAGGUGGGGAUGACGUCAAAUCAUCAUGCCCCUUAUGUCCAGGGCUUCACACAUGCUACAAUGGCCGGUACAGAGGGCUGCGAUGCCGUGAGGCGGAGCGAAUCUCUUAAAGCCGGUCUCAGUUCGGAUUGGGGU
rnacentral:rRNA from 1 species